CUUGGAAUAGAAAUUAAAAAAAAAGAAAAACACAAAAAGUCUAUUUAGAUUUUCAUGUUAUGUUAAAUAAUUACAUAAAUUUUUAAAGUGUUUUGAGCUUUAAUUAAAUACUUUAACUUUUAAAAAAAAUCAAAAUUUUAAAAAUUGAUUAAGAAAACCUUUUUAUUAUUUUAUAGAUAAAUAAGCUUUUUAAUUUUUUUAAAAAUAGAUAAAAAGACUAAAUUAUAAUUUGUCUCUAAUAUAAAUCUAACUAAGGUUAUGCAUGAUCUUCUAGUGCACAUGAUCCUCAUCUGCAAUCUUACGUAUCUGAUUUGCAAAAUUCUAAUAGAAAUUUGUUGUACUUUAGAGUAGAUUAAUAAGUUGUUGUUUACAUAAUUGUUCAAGAAAUUUAUCUAUAAAAGUGUCUUGAAUUUAUAGAGAAAUUUUUUUGAAUCAUUUAGUAAAAAAAUAAUUUAUUAAUAUAUUUCAGGAUGUAGUAGAUAUCGACUAGAAUGUUGCGAAUUAGAAACACAAAAUUGUCAACGAGGACUCUAUACACUAAAAGAUUUUUAUGCUCAACCUUGACUGAAUUUAUAUUAAAAAUAAAUUAUAGCUUAAUAUUUAUUUAUUUAUUUUUUAAUGAGUAAGAGAGCAUUGUAUUCUAAAAUUUCCCUUAAUCUGAGACAUUACAUAAGAGCCAUGUUUGAAGGGAUAGCCAGCAAACAAAACCAUUGAAUUUGAGUAGAUAACUAAUAAUUUUUAUAUCACGAUGUAUAUCAAAAUAAAUUUUAAAAUAUGGAUCAGUUAAAAAUGGAGUUAAAAAAAAGUGUAAUAAUUUUUGAUAAUUUAGAUAAAAUUAUUAAAAUUAAAAGUUGUGAAUAAAAUUAAAAAAUUUAAAAAAAUUAAUUUUUUGUAGUCAAAACAUCUAAAUAAAAACGUUAACUUUUAAGCGCUUAGGUCAGAAACACUGUAACAACAAAAAGAAAAGGAAAAAGGCAGAGAGUGAGUAUUAGAAACUGAAGCUCACAAUUAUGACUUUGAUUAUCGUUUUUAUUUAAAUCUUUUGUCGGAAAUCUUUACUCUGUUAUAUUGUUUAUUUCUAUUAUAUUAUUUAUUUAUUGUAUGCAAAUUACUUACCGUUUGGUUUCUAUUUCUCAUCUGAUUUCAAAGCACUUUUGUUUGUUUUUGUUGCGUUCUGUUAGUUGUUUAUUUCUUGCUUUCCUUCUCACCUCUCCUUGUUUUUAUUUUCUCUGGGUAUGUUAGGUGGUCACAUCCCAAGGAAAAAAA
rnacentral:misc_RNA from 1 species